rnacentral:misc_RNA from 1 species
AGCAUACUUCUGCUUACAAAGAUUUUAUUUUAAUUUUCUCUAGUAAUAAAAUGGUUUUCUUUUCACUAAAUAUGAGAGAAUUGAGUAUUUACAGACCUUCAUUAAAAUACCGAGUACAACGAGUCAUAAAACUUUGAGAGUCCUUGCUCGACCAACAAACAGGAGGAGAUCAUGUACAACACGAAAACCUUGACACUCAUCGCAAAUAGGUUUGAAGAUACGAGGAUAUGAGGAAGUAUAUUCUGCAUGUCAAGCAACUUUCCAACUUUCAUGACAAUGUUUCAUGCUCCUCACUCUUCACGAGAAUCCAGUUGCCUUUGGAGGCAUUUUUCUUCCUGGCAUGUGAAAUAAACCCAAGAAUAUAACCCAUAAAAGCCCCAAGCACAAGGAAACUCGCAACCUUGACAUACUUUGUGAAUGUGGAGUCCACCACCACUUCAAACCUGGCUCCAGCAACAUUGCUAACACCAUCAUUACCACUGUGAACUUGGCCUGAUGCCAAAAUUUCCACCAUAUCAUGCACCUCUCCAUCAUGGUUCCCUACAUAAGAAAGUGUCAGCUUCUCCUUUGUGGCAACCAGUCUAGCGUACCCAAACUCACCCCCACGGUACAUGGACCGCUCAGGUUGUGGAAAGACAGGCAUAUCUGGAUGGUCAGGUCUGGGUUUCCAAAUAGACUGCCAGUCUUGUCCUGCCAUCCCAAUUACAACAUGAACUGGAUAUCUCUUCCAAGUGCUUCCACAUGUGAAGUUAUUCACUGGACAAAACCUCUCGUAUCUGUGUACAUGACCCCACAACGCAAGGGUAACAUUAUUUUUCACAAACAAGGGUUCCAAGUGCUUAAGCAUUUUCUUCAUCAAUGGGGCAUCCCUGUUCUCAUAGCUUGUAGUGUACAUUGGCCUGUGCCCUUGGACAAUCACAAAAGGGGUCUUGCUCCGAUUAACUGAUUCUAAAUCAUGCUUUAUAAAGUUAUACUGGCUGCUCCCAGGAAGGAAAUUGGUCUCAGUUGAUAUGUACAUAAAAUGUACAGCCCCUGUAUCAAAUGAAUAGUAUAGGUUUCGAGUGGCAGGGGCACGGGUUCCAGUUGGCUCUGAAGAGUUUCCAGGCAUAUUAAAUUUAAGGCUGUACGGAACUCCACAUUCACCACCCCCAUCAGUUCCAUAAAUUGAAUAGGACCAAUCAGGUUUCCACGGUUGUAGAGGCCAAUCAUAUUCAUGGUUACCAAUGCACACAUGGUAUGGUACUUUGGAUGCAACAGAUUCAAUUUGAGUGAAAAAAUGGUCCCACAACCAUGAGUAGCCUCUUGCAUAGCUAAUAUCUCCUAUGUGAGAAAUGAAAGCAUGCUUGUCACCAAUAUCUUCUAUGUCACGAAGGAUCCAUUUCAUGGUUGAUAUGCUUUCAUAUUGUGUUCGAUGGAAGGUUGCAUAUGGCGUUGCAGUUCCCAUAUCUCCAAACAGGAAAGCUAUUGUUUCAUCUGAGUUUCCAUUCCGUGACACAAAGCUCUGAGUUGCACUCCAACCUUUAGAGUCGCUUCCAACCUGGUAAUAAUAUCUAACACCAUCCUUCAAAUUUGUCAUGACAGCAUCAUGGAUCCACCCAGGAUCUCUCCACCCAAUACUCCCAUUAGCCGGAGCAUCACACAUGUCCUCCCUUUCAUACCUCACCACACGUGCCACUGUUACGUGACUCCACUCUCCAUCACCCUGCCCCCAUUUCACCUUCCUCUCUUCCUUGUCACCCACCACGAACAUUACCCGCAUCUCAUCUUCCGAGUCCGUGUAAGCCAAGUGGAUCUGUUCUGGUCCAUGACCCGCCUCGAACCCAACCUCCUCAGAUUGAGCAAGCAAAUGGGCCGUCCCGGGAAGAGGGUUCUGGUCNAUGAUCGUGGCGUUUUGGGUUGAUCUCGCCUUCGGUCCAGUGGAAGAUCCGGAAUGAAU